rnacentral:rRNA from 1 species
AACGUAGGACACGAGCGUUAUCCGGAGUUACUGGGCGUAAAGGGCGUGCAGGCGGCCUGGUAAGUCUGAUGUGAAAGCUCCCGGCUCAACCGGGAGAGGACAUUGGAGACUGCCAAGCUCGAGGCAGAUAGAGGGAUGUAGAAUUCCGGGUGUAGUGGUGAAAUGCUUAGAGAUCCGGAGGAAUACCAGAGGCGAAGGCGGCAUCCUGGGUCUGGCCUGACGCUGAGACGCGACAGCAUGGGGAGCGAACGGG